GAUGAACGCUGGCGGCAUGCCUAACACAUGCAAGUCGAGCGGCAGCAUGCUCACUGAAUCUUUCACGCGUUUGGAAGGUUUUGUGAGUGAUGGCGAGCGGCGGACGGCUGAGUAACGCGUGGGAAUCCACCCCAAAGUGAGGGAUAACGCACCGAAAGGUGUGCUAAUACCGCAUAUGGUCUUCGGAUUAAAGUUUUAACGCUUUGGGAGGAGCCCGCGUCGGAUUAGAUAGUUGGUGAGGUAAUGGCUCACCAAGUCGACGAUCCGUAGCUGGUCUGAGAGGAUGAUCAGCCAGACUGGAACUGAGAUACGGUCCAGACUCCUACGGGAGGCAGCAGUGAGGAAUAUUCCACAAUGGGCGAAAGCCUGAUGGAGCAAUGCCGCGUGCAGGAUGAAGGCCCUCGGGUUGUAAACUGCUUUUAUAUGAGAAGACUAUGACGGUAACAUAUGAAUAAGGACCGGCUAACUACGUG
rnacentral:rRNA from 1 species